rnacentral:lncRNA from 1 species
AUUCCUGGGACCUGUGGUCAUAUUCUCUUACACGCAGAAGGGACGGACGGACCCUGCAUUGUGAUUAAGGUUUGGAAGCAAGAAGAAGGGAGCCACGAGCUGAAGAGUCUGAGUGGCCUUCCAGGAGCCUCCAGAGAGAAUGCGGCCCUGCUUGUCAUCUUGCUUUUAGCCUCUGGGACCCAAGCUGCACUUCUUCCCUUCAGAGUGAAGCGGUUCCUGAGACAAGGAUUUAAGAGCAGAAGUUUAUUUGGAAGGUGACCCCGGAUGCACUUGUGGGAGAGGAGACAGUGAAAACAGAGAGGAAAAGAAAAUCAAGACAGGGUGUGUUGACCCACAGGUUACACCUUGAGCAGCUGGAGUGCAAUCUUACAGAUCUCUGGGUAAAAGGAAGUCUUUCUUUGGGAAAGUUUCACUGGGACAGACAGAUGGACGUGAUGUUGCUGGGGCCUUUGAUAGCCAAGAACACAAGAUCUGACUUCAGGGGGCUCAGAAACUUCAUCAGCUGAGGAGGGGGACGAAGAGAACAGGAUCCUGAUGAAAC